GACGAACGCUGGCGGCGUGCUUAACACAUGCAAGUCGAACGGAAAGGCCCUGCUUUUGUGGGGUGCUCGAGUGGCGAACGGGUGAGUAACACGUGAGUAACCUGCCCUUGACUUUGGGAUAACUUCAGGAAACUGGGGCUAAUACCGGAUAGGAGCUCCUGCUGCAUGGUGGGGGUUGGAAAGUUUCGGCGGUUGGGGAUGGACUCGCGUCUUAUCAGCUUGUUGGUGGGGUAGUGGCUUACCAAGGCUUUGACGGGUAGCCGGCCUGAGAGGGUGACCGGCAACAUUGGGACUGAGAUACGGCCCCGACUCAUACGGGAGGCAGCAGUGGGGAAUAUUGAAAAAUGGGCGGAAGCCUGAUGCAGAAACGCCGCGUGCGGGAUGACGGCCUUCGGGUUGUAAACCGAUUUCGCCUGUGACGAAGCGUGAGUGACGGUAAUGGGUAAAGAAGCACCGGCUAACUACGUG
rnacentral:rRNA from 1 species